UGGGGUAGGAAGUUGGGGCAGAACUGGGGCAAUAAAGCUGAGCAGAAGGCAGAUUCUUGGCAGCGUAAAGGCCCCCUUGAGUAUGACUACAUUACCCAUAAUGCUCGGCGGAACCCUGUUCCUGAAUGUAAUUCACGAGCCCCGUGGGUUCUGGGCAUGCUGUUUGGGGCAUCCAGAGGGCAGAAAGACCCCAGGAGAUGCACUAUGUCAGCCAGGCGUCCAUCUCACUGGCUGGCCCCCGGUGUUUCAGUCCUUUCCCGUAUUGUAGCCCCCGCCCCAAACCCAGCAGCUGAGGAGAGAGCAGCGAGGGAGAGAGCGAGAGAGUCAGAGUGGGAGAGAGUGAGAGAGAGAGGAGGGGCGAGAGAGCACCCCAACCUGCCCAGGCCUGUGCGGAGCCAGCGUGACCACAGGCCCAGGGGGCAGCUCUACUGACCGCUGUGUGACACUGCGUUACGACCUUAGAGGUUAGAGUUACGCAAAACUAGCCUGGCUGAUCCGAUGACACAAACACAAGCUAGCUGACUACGGCGGUUCGCUGAAAACAAACGCAUCAAUUAUUCAUUUAA